GGGCAGAUGGUGAAACGGUCAACACUACCACUUUCGAUGUGGAUAUGAAGGUUCAAAUCCUUCUCUGUGCA
rnacentral:tRNA from 1 species